rnacentral:rRNA from 1 species
UACAGAGGUCUCAAGCGUUGUUCGGAUUCAUUGGGCGUAAAGGGUGCGUAGGUGGCGUGGUAAGUCGGGUGUGAAAUUUCGGAGCUUAACUCCGAAACUGCAUUCGAUACUGCUGUGCUUGAGGACUGGAGAGGAGACUGGAAUUUACGGUGUAGCAGUGAAAUGCGUAGAGAUCAUGAGGAAGACCAGUGGCGAAGGCGGGUCUCUGGACAGUUCCUGACACUGAGGCACGAAGGCCAGGGGAGCAAACGGG